UACGAAGGGUGCAAACGUUGCUCGGAAUUAUUGGGCGUAAAGCGCACGUAGGCGGCUUAGCAAGUCGGAUGUGAAAGCCCUCGGCUCAACCAAGGAAGUGCAUCCGAAACUGGCAGGCUAGAGUACUAAAGAGGGUCGCGGAAUUCCCGGUGUAGAGGUGAAAUUCGUAGAUAUCGGGAGGAACACCAGUGGCGAAGGCGGCGAUCUGGGUAGAUACUGACGCUGAGGUGCGAAAGCGUGGGGAGCAAACAGG
rnacentral:rRNA from 1 species